rnacentral:lncRNA from 1 species
GUGGGGAGCUCUCACUUAUACUCAGACCACUACUCGCCCUCUGGAAGGCACAGGCUCGGCCCCUCGCCGGAACCGGCGGCUAGUUCCCAGCAGGCUGAGGCCGUCCGCAAGAGGCUCCGGCGGCGGAGGGAGGGAGGGGCGCAUGCAGAGGGCAAUUGUGGAACAGCACCGCUUAAGGAUGUGUUGCAAGGGUCUCGGAUUAUAGGGGGCACCGAAGCACAAGCUGGCGCAUGGCCGUGGGUGGUGAGCCUGCAGAUUAAAUAUGGCCGUGUUCUUGUUCAUGUAUGUGGGGGAACCCUAGUGAGAGAGAGGUGGGUCCUCACAGCUGCCCACUGCACUAAAGACGCUAGCGAUCCUUUAAUGUGGACAGCUGUGAUUGGAACUAAUAAUAUACAUGGACGCUAUCCUCAUACCAAGAAGAUAAAAAUUAAAGCAAUCAUUAUUCAUCCAAACUUCAUUUUGGAAUCUUAUGUAAAUGAUAUUGCACUUUUUCACUUAAAAAAAGCAGUGAGGUAUAAUGACUAUAUUCAGCCUAUUUGCCUACCUUUUGAUGUUUUCCAAAUCCUGGACGGAAACACAAAGUGUUUUAUAAGUGGCUGGGG